GAUGAACGCUAGCGGCAGGCCUAAUACAUGCAAGUCGAACGAUAGUUGGGGCUUGCCCCAACGAAAAGUGGCGCACGGGUGCGUAACGCGUAUGCAACCUACCUUAAUCAGGGGGAUAGCCCGAAGAAAUUCGGAUUAACACCGCAUAAAAUCACAGUAUAGCAUUAUACAAUGAUCAAAUAUUUAUAGGAUUAAGAUGGGCAUGCGUGACAUUAGUUAGUUGGCGAGGUAACGGCUCACCAAGACUACGAU
rnacentral:rRNA from 1 species